AUUUUUCAAGGUGCUUGUAAUAUAAGCCCUACCUCCCAAAAUAAGCCCCAGUUAAGUUCGUCAGCCAGAUGGAUGCUGUAAGGCUUCC